AUAGCUAAACAUAGUUUUACCAAAUACUUAAUAAAAAUCAGUUAUUAUCAGCUACUAGCUAUCAGCUAUUAACUAACAGUUAUCAGCUGCAUCCAGCAGCUAAACCAAAUAGGCACCAAGUCAUUAAAGUGUUGCGUUUUACUUUCUUUAAAAGAUGCCCAUUUAGGACUUCAUGAAAUGCUACAGUUUCAAAAUUAAUUGGGAUAGGUUUUUUGUUAACUCUGUCACUCAACCCAUUUAAAUAAUAUAAUAGUGCAUGACAGAUGUCACACCAAUAAAAGUCCAUCACUUCUUUCGUUUCAUGGCUACAGUCUUCUUCUUGGUCUUUUUCUUCUUCUUCUUCUUUGUUUCAUGGCUGCUGUCCGCAUGCGGGUAAGGAAAGAAAAAGCAGUUUCUGGGCUUUUUUAUGGCUGGGCGCACCCCUAACUACUUUGUGUGCCUGGGCUUUUUUAGUUUUCUUUUACAUUUACACGUUUUUCUUUAUAAAUUCUAUUUUACAUAAAUUAAAAAUAAAUGUAAAUAUCUUUAUAAAAUUUAAUUUACCAAGUUAAAUUAGUAAGAUAUUAUUAAAUU
rnacentral:misc_RNA from 1 species